ACAUCGUUCAGAUAGUAAUGUUAAAGAUAAAAAAGUUCAAUUCAAUACAAGGGACUGUUGAAUGCAACGAAAUAAACAAUGCCAAAGAUGCAAAUGAUUUUGGCGGUGCACAUCCUGAUUCAAAAUGCCCAAAUGCUGCACACAGUUAUUUAUCACAGUUAAUUAUCGGUUAAUAAAAACGUUGGAAUUUCACCGGAUU
rnacentral:lncRNA from 1 species